GGCAACGUGGCUGAGUGGUUAAAGCGUACGACUGGGACUUACUUAUAUCUAGAUAAUCGUAUCCCUUCGGGGCCCUAGGUUCAAAUCAUGUCGUUGUCA